rnacentral:lncRNA from 1 species
CCCAUCCAUUCAAAAUCUUAUCCACGAAUUCGUAUGUAGCUGUUUCAACAGACCUUCCCUUGAGAUAUCCAUGUUGUGAUUCAGCAAUUAGGUGGUCAUCAUUGAAAAAGGCUAUAAGUCUUGUGCACAUUGCUAUUUCGAAAAUUUUUGAAAAUGUCGGUAGUAAACUGAUGGGUCUAUAAUUUUCCAAUUUGGUUUUAUCUCCCUUUUUAUGUAAAGGUUUCACUAGAGCUAACUUUAGUUGGUUAGGGAAAAUACCAUACUUAAAA